rnacentral:rRNA from 1 species
ACGCUGGCGGCAGGCCUAACACAUGCAAGUCGAGCGAGAAAGUUCUUCGGAAUGAGUACAGCGGCGGACGGGUGCGUAACGCGUAGGAAUCUACCUGGUAGUGGGGGACAACAUGGGGAAACUCAUGCUAAUACCGCAUACGCCCUACGGGGGAAAGCGGGGGACCUUCGGGCCUCGUGCUAUCAGAUGAGCCUGCGUAAGAUUAGCUUGUUGGUGGGGUAAAAGCCUACCAAGGCGACGAUCUUUAGCUGGUCUGAGAGGAUGAUCAGCCACACCGGAACUGAGACACGGUCCAGACUCCUACGGGAGGCAGCAGUGGGGAAUAUUGCACAAUGGGGGAAACCCUGAUGCAGCCAUGCCGCGUGUGUGAAGAAGGCCUUCGGGUUGUAAAGCACUUUAAGCAGUGAGGAAAGGGGUGUAGUUAAUAGCUGCACUCUGUGACGUUAACUGCAGAAUAAGCACCGGCAAACUUCGUGCCAGCAGCCGCGGUAAUACGAAGGGUGCAAGCGUUAAUCGGAAUUACUGGGCGUAAAGAGCACGUAGGCGGUUUGAUAAGCGGAAUGUGAAAGCCCUGGGCUUAACCUGGGAACUGCAUUCCGAACUGUUAGACUAGAGUAUGGUAGAGGUGAGCGGAAUUUCCUGUGUAGCGGUGAAAUGCGUAGAUAUAGGAAGGAACAUCAGUUGCGAAGGCGGCUCACUGGACCAAUACUGACGCUGAGGUGCGAAAGCGUGGGGAGCAAACAGGAUUAGAUACCCUGGUAGUCCACGCCGUAAACGAUGUCUACUAGCCGUUGGGGAACUUGAUUCUUUAGUGGCGCAGCUAACGC